AUUGAACGCUGGCGGCAGGCCUAACACAUGCAAGUCGAACGGUAACAGGAAGCAGCUUGCUGCUUCGCUGACGAGUGGCGGACGGGUGAGUAAUGUCUGUGAAGCUGCCUGAUGGAGGGGGAUAACUACUGGAAACGGUAGCUAAUACCGCAUAAUGUCGCAAGACCAAAGAGGGGGACCUUCGGGCCUCUUGCCAUCGGCUGUGCCCAGAUGGGAUUAGCUUGUUGGUGGGGUAACGGCUCACCAAGGCGACGAUCCCUAGCUGGUCUGAGAGGAUGACCAGCCACACUGGGACUGAGACACGGUCCAGACUCCUACGGGAGGCAGCAGUGGGGAAUAUUGCACAAUGGGCGCAAGCCUGAUGCAGCCAUGCCGCGUGUAUGAAGAAGGCCUUCGGGUUGUAAAGUACUUUCAGCGGGGAGGAAGGGAGUAAAGUUAAUACCUUUGCUCAUUGACGUUACCCGCAGAAGAAGCACCGGCUAACUCCGUG
rnacentral:rRNA from 1 species